AUGAUGAUGGUACUGACUCUGUUGCUGACCAUGUUGGUGUUGGGACUUCAAGGAUCAGGUGCCAGUCCAUCUGUAACUCAAUCUCCUGUGUCAAAGUCUGUCAGUGUGGGAGAGAUGGUGUCUCUGAGCUGUACAGUCAGUACAGGAGUUGAUGAUGACCUCAGCUGGUACCUGCAGAAACCUGGACAACCUCCUAAACUGCUGUUUUACAAAAUAAGCAGCCAGCAGACUGGUACUCCAAGUCGUUUCAGCAGCAGUGGAUCUGAACCUGACUUCACUUUGACCAUCAGUGGAGUUCAGACUGAAGAUGCAGCAGUUUAUUACUGUCAGAGUUACCACAGCGGCCCAGUGUUCACACAGUGA